rnacentral:rRNA from 1 species
UAGGGAAUCUUCCACAAUGGACGCAAGUCUGAUGGAGCAACGCCGCGUGGGUGAAGAAGGUUUUCGGAUCGUAAAGCUCUGUUGUUGGUGAAGAAGGAUAGAGGUAGUAACUGGCCUUUAUUUGACGGUAAUCAACCAGAAAGUCACGGCUAACUACGUGCCAGCAGCCGCGGUAAUACGUAGGUGGCAAGCGUUGUCCGGAUUUAUUGGGCGUAAAGCGAGCGCAGGCGGAAGAAUAAGUCUGAUGUGAAAGCCCUCGGCUUAACCGAGGAACUGCAUCGGAAACUGUUUUUCUUGAGUGCAGAAGAGGAGAGUGGAAUUCCAUGUGUAGCGGUGGAAUGCGUAGAUAUAUGGAAGAACACCAGUGGCGAAGGCGACUCUCUGGUCUGCAACUGACGCUGAGGCUCGAAAGCAUGGGUAGCGAACAGG